UACGUAGGGGCCUAGCGUUGUCCGGAUUUAUUGGGCGUAAAGAGCUCGUAGGCGGCUUGUCGCGUCGGAUGUGAAAGCCCGGGGCUUAACCCCGGGUCUGCAUUCGAUACGGGCAGGCUAGAGUUCGGUAGGGGAGAUCGGAAUUCCUGGUGUAGCGGUGAGAUGCGCAGAUAUCAGGAGGAACACCGGUGGCGAAGGCGGAUCUCUGGGCCGAUACUGACGCUGAGGAGCGAAAGCGUGGGGAGCGAACAGG
rnacentral:rRNA from 1 species